AUUGAACGCUGGCGGCAUGCCUAACACAUGCAAGUCGAACGGGGCAGCAAUGCCUAGUGGCGGACGGGUGAGGAAUACGUAGGAAUCUGCCCUUAAGUGGGGGAUAACCAGGGGAAACCCUGACUAAUACCGCAUGAUCUCUUCGGAGCAAAGAGGGGGACCGCAAGGCCUCUCGCUUCUGGAUGAGCCUACGUCUGAUUAGCUAGUUGGUAGGGUAAAGGCCUACCAAGGCGACGAUCAGUAACUGGUCUGAGAGGAUGAUCAGUCACACCGGAACUGAGACACGGUCCGGACUCCUACGGGAGGCAGCAGUGGGGAAUAUUGGACAAUGGGUGCAAGCCUGAUCCAGCAAUGCCGCGUGUGUGAAGAAAGCCUUCGGGUUGUAAAGCACUUUAGCCUGGAAAGAAAAAACUUUGGUUAACACCCAAAGUCUUGACGGUACCGGGAGAAUAAGCACCGGCUAACUCUGUGCCAGCCGCCGCCGUAAGAC
rnacentral:rRNA from 1 species